rnacentral:rRNA from 1 species
AUGGUGCAAGCGUUAUCCGGAUUUACUGGGUGUAAAGGGAGCGUAGACGGAGAGGCAAGUCUGAUGUGAAAACCCGGGGCUGAACCCCGGGACUGCAUUGGAAACUGUUUUUCUAGAGUGUCGGAGAGGUAAGUGGAAUUCCUAGUGUAGCGGUGAAAUGCGUAGAUAUUAGGAGGAACACCAGUGGCGAAGGCGGCUUACUGGACGAUGACUGACGUUGAGGCUCGAAAGCGUGGGGAGCAAA